rnacentral:lncRNA from 1 species
CGCUGAUCUACACUGUAGAACAUUUUAAUAUAAUGAAGAAUCACUGAAUAUAGGAUGCUCUGGUCCUCCUCUCCAGGCUGAGGCGCCAGUACUGAGAGUUUCUCCAGCAGUAGAAGCGGAGAUGCUGCUGCUGCGCUGCUGCUGAGAGAGAGAGAGAGAGAGAGAGGAGCUGCUGAAGGUAAACACUCACAGAUUUAUACACUACACUCCUUUAUUUAUACUAUUAUUUAACUAUAUUACUCUAUAUUACAGCAGAUCUCACACUGUAACACGCGCUCAGAGCUCCACCCUGCUGAGAGGAACACCAGCAGAACCAGAUCAGACUCAUCAGCUGAGCUCCUGAUCCAGCAGCACACAGCAGGGUUUCAGUGUUUCAGUUUGUUUCAUUGCUAUAGGAUAUGUUUAAAAAAAAAAACAAAUGAAAAAUGUGACUCUUUACAGUUUAAAUUGACCUCCACAAAA